AUUAAGUUAGUUUAAGUAAAAACAUAAAUUUUGUAAAUUUAAAAUU
rnacentral:tRNA from 1 species